GACGAACGCUGGCGGCGUGCUUAACACAUGCAAGUCGAACGGAAAGGCCCUGCUUUUGUGGGGUGCUCGAGUGGCGAACGGGUGAGUAACACGUGAGUAACCUGCCCUUGACUGUGGGAUAACGUCAGGAAACUGGGGCUAAUACCGGAUAGGAGCUCCUGCUGCAUGGGGGGGUUGGAAAGUUUCGGCGGUGGGGGAUGGACUCGCGGCUCAUCAGUUUGUUGGGGGGGUAGGGGCUUACCAAGGCUUUGGCGGGUAGCCGGCCUGGGGGGGUGGCCGGCCCCAUUGGGCCUGAGAUCCGGCCCAGCCUCCUACGGGAGGCAGCGGUGGGGAAUAUUGCCCAAUGGGCGGAAGCCUGUUGCAGCACCGCGCCGUGCGGGAUGACGGCCUUCGGGUUGUAAACCGCUUUCGCCUGUGACGAAGCGUGAGUGACGGUAAUGGGUAAAGAAGCACCGGCUAACUACGUG
rnacentral:rRNA from 1 species